CAAAUAACAACUGUAAUUCACAAUUUGAGCAGUAAAUGGAGGAACGGGAUUGCAAUAGUCAAAACAACCGGCCGGGUUAUUACAGUUGAUUCACUGGAUGCUUCACUUGUACAAUUUUAUAGUAAAUAACAUGUUUCUCUACUUAUUAUUAGGUGGUUCACUUAAAACUAUAGCAGAUAGUGGACUACCCAAAAUUGAGGAAGCGUUCCAAAAUCUGUAGGAUCAUCUAAAUACUUCUGACAUCAAGCGAGGUGAAGAGCUUAAGAUGGUUUUUCUCUUACACUUGAUAUAUAGUACACUUCAAUUUAUUUAUUUUUUGAGAUUUUGGUGUCAUUAAGAUUGAGAUUGCUUCUUAUUCAUCUAAAUACUUCUGACUAAUGUGAUUGGCUUAUCAUUACUGGUUCCGAUGCAAUUAAAUGUUCAUGCCUUUGGCAGAUGAAGAGGAGAUUGAUCAACAGUAAACAUACAUCUCCACAGUCCACUGGUGCGGAAAAGGUUACUUCAUCUUAUGAGAAGUCAUUUUCAUCAGUUAAAUCAUUUUGACAUUUGCCUAAUGAAACUAGAUCAUCAGCUGCUAUGACACCUUCUGAUUCAUCUACCAUCCCAAAUGCAAAUUCUAGUGCGACGAAUAGUUCAGAAACCAAUAGUUAGCUCCUUUGUAACCGCAAAGUAAGCAGGGUUUUGGAGGUGCUGGCAAUUUUCAGUGACGUAUGUUUAUAAAAAAGGUGGAAAAAGUUAAGAGACAAAAGAGGGAAAGCACAAUAAAGUACAGGUUCUGAUACAACUAGGUAUUCAUGCCUUUGCAGAUGAAGAGGAGAUGGUUCAAUCUGAACAUAGCUCUCCACGGUCCGUAGGUGCUGAAAAGGUAAUGCAUCUCCAAUUUAGCGGGACGUGCAAGAGCUCACUUUAAAUGAGAAAGUCUUCUUCAGUGAAAUCAUUGUGCCAUUUGCCUAGAGAAACUAUACGAGCUGCAAUGACACCAUCUUGUAUCCCUACAGUCUCGAUUGCAAAUUCUAGCGCGAGGAAGAUUGCAGAAACCAAAAGUUACCUCCUUUGUAAAAAGGUCAGAGUGUACAAAUCCAGAUAUAGGUGUACAAAUCCAGAGUUCCCCAGUGAGAAGUAUAGUUAAUCAUGUAUUACAGUAGAGGCAUGUUACUUACCUUAUCGUGUCUAAAACACAGAGGCUAAAACGAAUCAAGGAUAAUUAUAGCUUUCUGUUUGAAGUAUUUUUAUAUUUUUGUUUGUGGAACAUUAAAGUGUUUGUGGAAGUAAAGUGGUAUUAUUACGGACGUA